GAUGUGGCCGAGCGGUUAAGGCGUCAGACUGCUAAUGAUACCCUCUGGUGCUGGAUUCGAUUCCCGUCAUC
rnacentral:tRNA from 13 species